UACAGAGACUGCAAGCGUUAUUCGGAUUCACUGGGCGUAAAGGGUGCGCAGGUGGCCAAGUGUGUUAGGCGUGAAAGCUCGGGGCUUAACCCCGGAAUUGCACCUAAAACUACUUGGCUAGAGCAUUGGAGAGGGGAGCAGAAUUCAUGGUGUAGCAGUGAAAUGCGUAGAUAUCAUGAGGAAUACCAGAGGCGAAGGCGGCUCCCUGGACAAUUGCUGACACUCAGGCACGAAAGCGUGGGGAGCAAAAGGG
rnacentral:rRNA from 1 species